GUGCUGUUCCGUGUGCGCGGCGCAUACGCACCUGGGUUGUCUCGAGCCUGCGGUAGUGGCCAGAUCCCAGACAUCCGAGUAGAUCCCGUGAAAAGCUUCUUCUUGGUUUCUUCGUACAUUCUGGAUCCACCCCUUUCAUGCAUAUUCCAGACCACAUUUCCACUGGAGCAGUUGAAAUGAGAGAGAUGGGAAUGGGACUCACCCGAACCAGAGGAAUUUUUAUUACAGACCCAUUAACAGAGGUGUCAAAGUCACAGGAACAAGGAUGUGCACCUCAGAAACACAGAGGUCAGUGGAAAAUCAGUUUGCUUCUAUUUGUUUAAAAAAUGGGGGACUUAUGCAUAAAUCUAAGACCUUCUUGAAUCUAACAUUCUAAGACCUGUAUGCCACAGAAAGGAGGGUCUCAGAACGCCGGAGGAUAGUAUUUAAAUCUUAAAUAUCUAUAUUGUUCUCCACAGUUACUGGGUCACCACAUAGCAGGCAUUCAAUAAAAACGUGUUUGUUUACUAA
rnacentral:lncRNA from 1 species